rnacentral:lncRNA from 1 species
UUCGCUCUUGUUCCCAAAGCAUGUUCCGACUUGUUCCCGCGGCACGUUCCCCUCAUGGCAGGCCGCAAGCGAGCAAGAGACGCAGGAAAGCCGACGCAAAGGAAAUAACAAAUGGCGCACACACGAGGAUUCGUUUUCCGAUGAAUUUUGCGAGAAGAGGAAGAGGAAGAAUCUACCCUCGAAUCCUCGGAGAUGCCGUGGAAUGUCCAUCCCCGCACAUUGCCUGAUGCUCA